AUUUCUUAUACGUUAGCAACGAAGUUGCUGCAGCGAGAGGGGCAGCAUUCAGAUGUGAAGUCCUCACCGAAAUGCUUCAGAAGCUGCAUUCUUCUGCAGUUUAUAACAUCUUCUGAAUACUUCACCAUGGCCUUGGCGUCUUCUGUGUUAAUGGUCGCUGUCGAUGUCCUGGGAGGCGCCCGGAGGGGUUUCGACCCACGCCUACCCGCGCCCGCCAAUGCGCCCCGGCGUAUCACCCCGGGCACCGCACCCCAGCCGCCAAGUAGGCGACGACACAGCGGAUGACAAUGCUCUAGAUGAGCUCCCUGUGCCCCCGCCCCCCCGCCGAGCAGACCGCUGCCGCCGCCCCGCAGCUCGCCGCGGCCGCCGAGCAGCCCGUCAAGGCCGCCGAGGAGGAGGAGGCCCUA